UGUUUUACGAACUGGAGAGAGUUAUCGAAUCUUCACAAGUUAUACUACUGAUUUUGGAUAAAGGAUUUUUAAGAAACUCUUGGAAGUGUUUUUCCCAAGAAGCAGCAAUCAAGAACCUCAUUGACACAUCUACCGACCAAAAUGCACCACAUCAAACCGUUUGAUUCCAGUACUUAUUCAUUUAGAAAAAAAUGAAAUCCCAUCUGCGUUAAAAACAUUAACACCAAUAGAGAUUAUGGAGGAAUCGGACAUAGACAAAAAAUGGAAAAAUCUUAAGAUAGCCAUAGAUUCGCAUUUUGGACAGGAGAGAAUUCCAAGAAAUAUUGUGGCCAAAAACCCGCAACUAACCCCAGAACCCCAAUAUGCUCCAGCAGUGUCCAAGGAACCAAGAGUCAAUCCCAAAAGCAAUGGUCCUUCAUGCAGAACACUGCGUUUGCAGUCAACCGUGGAAACGGAUGCUCCUCAGCCCAUGACCUCUACAACAGCAGCAACAGUCCAGCAAUCUGUAACCAGUCCCCAGAAUCAUUCCUUUACUCCUAGUCUUUCACAGAGCACUUCUGAUUCAGGCAUUGGAUUAAUGAGUCCUGAAUUAGGGUCCCUCAAUGUGGCCUCAUUUUUGCCUGGUGAGGCACCAGAGAGCCUUUAUCCAAGCAAUCAGAUUGAUAACUCGGUCACACUGCAGGAUAAGCCUGACUCAGCUGUAAACCAAAGUCCAGAGGGACCAAAAACGUGUACAGAGGAUGGAGAGAGACCUUCAUUCUUUUUCCGAGCCAUUCAUUUUUCACUUCAUGCCUUUUUUCAACCAGACAAAGUGUAUGCACCACCUUAAUGGACCACUAAAUCUGACAUUGCAAAGAAAUUGUGAUACAUGUACUAUAUAUUUGUCUCAAAAAGCUGCAGAACUGUUGCGCUAUACUCAAAUUUGGCUUGAAAUAAAUGUCUAAUAACAUUAUUUAUGUCAAUUAUUUUUUGCAAAAUGAACUACAAAAUUAAUUAUUUUAAAUAUGAAAAAACUAUAGGUAGUGUAGCUUUUUAGUUUUUUUGUCAUCCUGAAUUUUUUUGAAGAGCCACAGUUCUACAGCUAGUUUUGCUUGAAGUAACUAGUGGAAGUAGAUGGUAGAAAAGGGGUAGAAAUAUAAACAAAGGAAAAUAGAUUGGUUGUAUAUCAUUAACUGCUUUAAUGUAUUUAUUACAUACUUACCAUAUAAUAUAUUCAAAAGUGAGGAACAAUAACUGUGCUCCAGUUGACAGUCCAACACACUUUUGGGGAACAGUUUCUCAAAUCAGCUUAAAAACUAUUGGAUUCUCUAAAGAUAUUCUUGCAUGUGCAUGUGUAUUGAUGAUUUGAAAGACAUUCAUUUAAUAUAGCAAUUUUGGAAUAGAAUAUAUUUUGAAAAAAAAAAUAAUGCUAGUACUCUGUAUAAAUGUAUAUAUAAAU
rnacentral:misc_RNA from 1 species